AUCGAAACACACGAGAAAUGAAUCAAGAUCAGGGUAUUCGGCGGCUGCCUGGGAUUGAACCCGCGACCAGACCAGCGUGACGGGAGAGCCGCUCCUUACCGAGUCGGCCAAAGAGGUACCCCCCUGGCUAAGUGGGUUAUGGGAGGCUCGUUCAUCAGGCCGUCGCCGCACUACAACAAUUGCAAUCUGCACCGCUGUUCCACUUGUUCCGCCCUCCAAAUACUCCUUCCUACCUACGGGGGCUUCGUGGUGCAGUGGUUAGCACACUCGGCUCACAACUGAGAGCCCGGGUUCGAUUCCCGGGCAGAGUUGAAAAAAAUGGGGGGCUUUUCCGAUACCCUACGCCCCUGUCCACCCAGCAGUGAAUGGGUACCAGGCCUUCUCAGGGACAACCAGGAGAAGACGAAGAUGAAAUUACAAAACCCAGAAGGCUGAAAGAGGAAGUCAGUCAGUCAGUCUACAGUCAUUACAAAACCCUGAAGACAAGACUGGAGGAGGAAGUCAGUCUAGUGUCAUCCCAAGAGGAGGCGGCCUGAGGUGCCAGGAAGGUGAAACCUAUCUGGAGGACAAAAUGCUCCUCUGGAAAAAGUUGUGAGAGGAACAACUGAUACUUGUACAGCAAGGGGAGCAACGGAGCACUUCUCAACCCCUUGACUGUGGACUUCCUGCCAGAAGACAUCACCAGGAUACAGAAAUGGAACAAAGAGUGGCUGCUACAAUUUAAUAUAGAAGAAUGUAUUCCUGCACCUUGGGAGGGGAUAUCCAGCACACCGAUACCACAUGGGAAACACUCCACUAUCCACCACAGAGGCAGGGAAAGACCUGGGAGUAUGGGUUACCAGGCUACCAGUGAAAGCCAAAUCCGUGCCAAUCGCAGCGGACGUGUUAAAGGGAAUGAAGAGACAAAGGAGGUAAGGAAAAGGCAUCUCAAUUCAUGAGGAAAGAGAAGUGACCAGUAUGGAAGUAAAGAUUCAAGUGGAACAACCGCAUCAUACCUACAAGGAGAAGUGUAGAGGAGAUAGACAUGGCAAUAGAAAAGUUAAGAGA